GUUGGACAGUUUGACCAGGCUGGCAUGCUGGAAGGCUGCACCAGACUCCAGUCCGAUUCGGCAUGAGUUUCUACAGCUGGAUGCCCUUCCUAAUGCCAACCACUCUGAGAGUGUAGUGGAUGCUAUUACGUGCCACCAUCAGGUGGUAUUGGCAACGUUCACAGUCAAAUGGUGUUUUUAUGUGCCACCUGCACA